CCAAGGAGUCUAACAUGUGCGCGAGUCGUAGGGUUGCUAAAAAUUGCAAUAAACCCGAAGGCGUAAUGAAAGUGAAAGUCGGUAUGUCUGGCCGACUGAGGCGGGAUCCGUCCAGGUAUCGCUGUAGCUCUUCGGGGCUGCAGGAGCCUGGCGGCGCACCGCCGGCCCGUCUCGACCGCUUCUUGUCGGCGAGGCGGAGCAAGAGCGCACACGUUGGGACCCGAAAGAUGGUGAACUAUGCUCGGGCAGGACGAAGCCAGAGGAAACUCUGGUGGAGGUCCGUAGCGAUUCUGACGUGCAAAUCGAUCGUCGGACCUGAGUAUAGGGGCGAAAGACUAAUCGAACCGUCUA
rnacentral:rRNA from 1 species